rnacentral:lncRNA from 1 species
GUUGAUGCAAAUAUUCCCAGUUUGAGUGCUGGAAGAGAAUGCUGGAAGAAGAGACAAGACCUGAGUCACCUUGCUUGCUCGGACUUUGGUGACCGACACUUUUGGAAUGAUGGGAUUUGAAUAUGUUUUGUUUUGUUAUUAUCCAUUUGUUGAAUUAACAUCUUAGCUUGAGCUAGAAGACUGAGUCGACACGGAUCAGAAA